rnacentral:lncRNA from 1 species
AUGUCACGACGUACUUCACCCAUGUCACCAAGAGCUGCCCUGAGAGGACCAUGGGGAUUUAGGGCUUGUGCAGUUGAAAGCUGAGUCAUCCAUCUUGGCAACAGGACCUGAUUAACCCUGGGCUAAUUUUAGAUUUCCUCACAAUUGCUCAUCUUAAUAUAGAACAGCCCCUAAGGAUCGUGUUGGCCAAUGUUUUGUUUUUGUUUGAUGUGACCAGAAAAAAAGGAGGACAGCAAAGGAGAUGAGAACAGCUACGUGUUUCAAGGUGCGGAAGCAGGCACGAUGGGGAAGGGAGUGAGACCGAGAUGGGUACCAGUCCCUCAGUGACUGACUCAAACCGGCACAUCAUGCAGCCAACACAGUGCCAAGCCUGCAGAGAAUGGUUCUUGCUCAUCAUACGUCUACUCUUGAGAUUUGAGGUGUAGUUCAGCGGGCUUCUCUGCUUUAAAGGAAGAAACCAACACAAAGCUUUGCUCAGCUACUUAUGAAUCAAUCCAGUUCUGACUUGCAUUAUUGAUUUGUUGCGUGACCUUGAGGUCCCUCAGCCUAAGUUUUUGCUUCUAUAAAAUGGGGAGAAAUACAAGCAUACCUUGGAGAUACUGAGGGUCCCUCACCAUACCACCACAAUAAAGCCAAUAUCACGUGAAUUUUAUGGUUUCUGAGUGUGCAUAAAAGUUGC